rnacentral:rRNA from 1 species
AACGUAGGUGGCGAGCGUUAUCCGGAUUUACUGGGCGUAAAGGGUGUGCAGGCGGGCUGUUAAGUGGUGCAUGAAGUCUCCGCGCUUAACGUGGAGAGGCUGUGCCAGACUGGCAGUCUAGAGUACGUGAGAGGGUUGUGGAAUUCCGGGUGUAGUGGUGAAAUGCGUAGAGAUCCGGAGGAACACCAGAGGCGAAGGCGGCAACCUGGCACGUAACUGACGCUCAUACACGACAGCAUGGGGAGCGAACGGG